CAUUUUCUUUGUUUAAAGGGUCUGAUAGGACCAGCUGGAGUGUCUGGGCCUGCAGGACCAAAAGGAGAAAUGGGGGAAAAGGGUGAUAUGGGAGUAGCUGGACCAAUUGGGCCUCAAGGCAUCCCUGGUUUAGUAGGACCACCGGGAUUAAAAGGAAACCG